UGUAUUGGCCGGGAAUCGAACCCGGGGCGCCCGCGUGGCAGGCGAGCAUUCUAUCACUGAACCAAAAGCAAAC